UCCAAGGCCCAGCCCUUCUCUAGAAUUGAAAGACUUGAGACUUGGUUUCAUGCUGGAGCCUGUAAACAAAAUCCUUAUGGGGACAUAUGUGAUCCCACAGUGUCUGUGCUGCUGGGAUGCGUGUGUCAGUACUGGGACGUGAUUCUGGCUUCUAGCUGGCGGCAGUCACGCAAGAUGCACCACUAACCCACAAAGGAUCAGCAGCAGGACAAGCAGCACUUUUCUCUGGAGGAUCCCAAAAUGCACAACAAACAUUAACAGAGCCCAACAUCAUGCUGUGAGGCAUGUAUGUGCUGUUGUGAAUGCCAUUAUCCUUCAUUAAAAUUGCUAGAUCUUCAAGACAAACAAGCACAGAUUACCAUUCCUCAGCUGAGACUGGGUCUGCUAUGUGA